CCUACGGGAGGCAGCAGUGAGGGAUAUUGCGCAAUGGGCGAAAGCCUGACGCAGCGACGCCGCGUGGGCGAGGAAGGCCUUCGGGUUGUAAAGCCCUUUUGGCAGGGAAGAGCAAGGACUGUACCUGCAGAACAAGUCACGGCUAACUACGUGCCAGCAGCCGCGGUAAAACGUAGGUGGCGAGCGUUGUCCGGAUUUAUUGGGCGUAAAGAGUGCGUAGGCGGCUUCUUAAGUGGGGCGUGAAAUCCCCCGGCUAAACCGGGGAGGGUCGUCCUAAACUGGGGGGCUUGAGGGUAGAAGAAGAGAGCGAAAUUCCCGGUGUAGUGGUAAAAUCCGUAGAUAUUGGGAGGAACACCGGUGGCGAAGGCGGCUCUCGGGACCGAUACUGACGCUGAGACGCGAAAGCGUGGGGAGCAAACAGGAUUAGAUCCCCGGGUAUU
rnacentral:rRNA from 1 species